rnacentral:tRNA from 1 species
AGGUUGCCUUUUGUUAGAAAA